UGAGAAACAGAGAAAGUGUUCUUCCUCUCGGGUUUGAGCUAUGGGUUCUAAAGUUUCAUCUCUAAGUUUUGUGAGAAGAAAAAUACAAGAGUGAGUCUUGUCCAAUCUUUCACACCAUCACCUUCUUAUAAAGCUUCAUCUUCUCAUCCAAAGAAGUCCGGAAGAUCCAAAGAAAGGAGCUUGGAUCAGCCAUCCAGAGCCUUCGAUGCGAGCUAGCUCUCCCACA
rnacentral:lncRNA from 1 species